CGUUUCGAGCUAAUAAGUGAAUAAUUCAGUUUUAAUAUGGAAUACGCAUUGGUAGAACUGCCAUUAGAAUCCAACAGAAGAGUUAUUAUCAAAACUAAUCGUAUUAACGAUUUUAAUAAUUAUCGUGAAUCAACAAAAAAUAAAAUUUAUCGUUAUCAGAGAGAUGGUAAAGAGAUCAAAUGCACGAUAUUAAAAGUCGCAGAAACAUCCGAUGAAUUGAAAAAUCCAAUAGGUCGUGUACGCCGUCCUAAAAUCUUGAAUCCCUCGUCUUUAGAAUCUUCUGACGAUGAAAAAGAAUCAGUAACUACCGCGGCUAAAAACUGUAGGAAAAAACAAAAACAAAACGAAAGCAAAGUGAAAAAACAGAGAGCCGACGAAAUCAUUGAAGCUUUUGAACAGACUAAUGAAAUGAAGGAUAUGCUUCUAAAUGGACCAGAUUCGUAUGGCAAAGAUAAAAAUGAAGUCACAAACUCUGUAAUUCAAAGAAAAAUUUAGAUGACAAUAAACAACAAGUGAAUGAUAUAACUCAGAAUAAACAAGACGAAGAAAGAAAAGAAGAGUUUCAACUCGAUGGAGUAGCAACUGUAUUAAAUAACCUGGAAAAGAAGAAUGAUAAUGAAGAAAUAAACAGCGAAUACGAAAUAGAGUUAGACAAAAUAAACGAUUCUGAAUUGAUUGGCGAUUCCGAAGACGAUGCUGAUGGGGUAGAAACAUUGUCGCAAAGUUCGGAUGUACGAAAUAGAAAAAUGACAGAUCCUGAAACAUCAACUCAUUUAGAGCUUAAUAUGUAACGGGGUAAAUUUGUAUUUACCGCGUUCAAUUAAGUUUAAAAUAAAAUCUAUUAUGCGCACUGUCGGUCAUGCGACAUUACCACUUCGGGUAUUCCGGGUAGGUAGCGACUAGUCGUCCGGAAAUGGAAAUUUCACUUGCUCGACCGUCGACCCCACCUAGAGUUAAGUAGGAGUGGAAAAAGGACAACUAUAGUCAAGAGUGAGCGAGCAAUUAAAAACGGGGACCGGAACGAGAAUCGGGCAUUAACCAUCGGGACGUCCGAAUAGAGAGGUGGAGAGACGAAGUAACCAGACAACCGACGCCAUACAGACGCCGUUAAAUUAAUUAACCAGGUUAAAGGAGAGUGAGGAGAAAGAAAGAAAGGAGAGAGAGAGAGAAAGUAAAAACAGAGAGAGAGACGGAACCAAAAAUUAGACCAGACAAUUACGAGAACAAGGAAAUUAAUCAGACAAAACCCGGACAGAGACACGACGGAAAGAUCUGGAGAUUUUUACUGGAGAGGUUCAACCGUCUACGUCAUCGACUCCUCAUCAACCACGAGUUCUAGAUGAUGUGAACGUAGAUAUUAAUGUUAAGAACGGACUUAUAAACCAAUUAUUAGAGACAAAGAAGAAGCUGGAGUCUGAGCUAAAAAGAUUGAAAUUCUAACUUCAAGAAGCAAGGCUAGCACAUGUUAUGAACCAGGAGCAUCAACGACAACAACUACCACCUAUACGAGCACCAUCACCACCACCACCACCACAACAACAACAACAACAACAACAACAACAACAGCCACUACAAUAUCAACAACAUAAUCAGCCUUUUGACAACUUUUUACAAAACGAUCAAUAUAUUAUUGGUGAUAAUUUACAAAUUUCAAGCGCUUCAUAUCGUGAUGCUAUCAAUGCUGAUUUGCCAUCAAAAUUCGUAACCAUCAUGUCGCAUGCUAUAUGGGGUUAUGAAAUAUUAGCAACUCGCGUAGUCCGCAAACAAUCGAAUGCUCCCGGUAGAAGUAUUUUAACACCACGAAAAAAAGAGUUAUUAGCUUAUCAUUACGAAAAGUUUUUAAAGAAAAGAAAUUACAGUCGUGAAAAAAUUGAUAAUGAAUUAAAAAAAAUGAAUACUUACUUGGGUAGAUCAAUAACUGCUGCGAAACGAAAAUUGAUACAAUAAUAGUAGAGCAAAAAAAAAAACAAUUAAAAUAAAAUAUCAAAUAUACAAUCUGUUAAAAAAAUUCUCAUACAAUAAGAUAAUUAUUUAGUUUGCAGUAUACUUAU